rnacentral:lncRNA from 1 species
AGGGUGACUGAGUCACGCAGUGUAAGUAAAUCUUCCUCGACUAUUGCUGUGAACUGGUUUAGCGAACAUGUGUUAGCAGUUAAUGGGUCACGCUUAUUCCAAUCCUGUAUUGCUGUAGGAAAGUACGAAUACUUCGGACAGCUAGAAUGAUGUGUGUAUCCAGAGAGUUUGAAAGAGUGCUUGAUGCGUGUAGGCCUUGCUGACGUUACACAAUUGUAUCUAAUAGUGUCAGUAUUCACCUGGUUGGGAAGAAGCUGCUGAGUCACAGUUUACAGCCUUUUAUGAAAACCAUGUGGACAAAGUGACAAAAUGCUUUCUUCUUCCAGGUAUGUGGUCAUAUGUUUCAAGACUAUACGCUCUAAAAGUUCAUGGGUGCUGCUGGCUUGUCCCCUUCAUCGUAAUGCAAGGGUCAGGACAUGCCCUUCUUCGUCUGGAAAACAACACAC